rnacentral:lncRNA from 1 species
GGUAAAUGUAGGAAGAUCAUUUAUCCAUGCCCAUAGUGUCCAAAACAGUCUCCAUGGGCUGCCAGGCUGCCUCUGUUCUUAGCACUCAGCGCUCUCCUCCUCCCCGCUCCAUUUUCCUCUGGCCUCAGCGUUAGCAGGCUUGUUUCUGCUUUUCCUUUGUCCCGCUCUCCAGCACUGAGCCUUUUCUGGAACGUUCGCACAGCAGCUCUGCUGAUGGCUCAGCUGUGGAAGUGGCUGUGGUAGGCUGGGCCUUUCUCCUCGGAGAGCCCGUCCUGCUGCCGUGCCAGCACCUGGCUGCUCACAACAAAAGGGAAAGCUCGUUAUCACACUGCAGAAACCAUAAUCUGCUGUCCUCACACCAAGAUCAUAGGGGUGCUGAACUAGAGGAUGACACAUCCCAUCUUGUGGCUUGAUGUGUCCACUACCAGGUCAGUGCUGUAGUGAAAGUCUGUGUAAUCUAUUUCUUGGCCUGUCUCAUGUGGUAUCUUCUAUUUGUGUGUUUU